UGAACAAUAUUUUUAUUUUCUGCAUCAAAAUAAGGUUUGAUUACAUUCUAAGAAAAAAAUAUAUAUUUUAUUUUCAUAAUAUUCAUUCAGUGAAUGUACAUAAUCACUCGCUUGUGCGUUGUUGCAAAGAUUUUUCAGAUCUCACCAGAAUAAUGUGAAACUGCUACGUUUUGGUUGCUAUGGAUGCUACUAUUGCCUAAACAUAGCUGUGGCCCCAGAUUCCACAUACUCUUCCUUACAAUUUCGCUCCGUCUGACGGAUCAAACCCCUGUCUACUGUAUGCGUUGCGUCUGAGGUUGAUUUGCUGAUCAACACAUCAAUCCGUGGCAACAGGUGAAACUAAUGUUGAUAAGUUACGAUGAGUGGUUUUAAUGUUGACAUCUACCGGAACCUCCAUGCAUUUAACUUCCUGUCUGGUGCGAGCUCAUUGACGGGAUUUGGCGCGUAAAUUCCCCACGAAAAAGGAAAAUCAGGAAAAGUUAAACAAGGAGGAAAUGGAAGCGUGGAAAAAUGAAUAAUCUUGACCCCGAGGAUGAUAUAUUCCUGGUUGAUGCGUUCCUGGAUGAGUACAAGGUAAAUAACAUUAUUUCAGUAGUGGAAAAAGCAUACUAAUUGCAUGUCAAUUACAAGGUCUAAGACCAUAAUAGACUAGAGGUAUAGCAGGAAAGAAGUAUCAAGGUGCAAAACUGCAACACUCCAAAUGAAAAUUGUGCAAUUAUACAGUUCAAUGUUCUGUACCUUUUAUAAUAAUUAAAUAAUUAAAUAAAUUUAUAUUCUUCACAGAAAAUGAGCCAAGGCCAAAGUGUCUGAGUUUUAACAAAUAAUUAAUCAUGUUAUUUUUCUUUUGAAAAAAAAUGAAAACGGGUCAAACAGACCCGAACAACAUACAUAAGUGGCAUCACGUUUUUACAUGUGGGUAACGUAGCUGCGAGAGGUCAAGCAGAUUGACAAGAGAUUGAGGGGGUCGUGUUCGCUCUUUCAGCCACCCACCAUUUAAACUUGUUCAUCCUCAAAGGUAGGUAAUGAAUAGGCUUAUACUUAGUGAUAUAUACAUAUACUAACGGAACCUGAAUAAAAAAGUUAGUUAGUGCCGUCUACACCAUCAUUCGUUAAUUAUCACCAUAAAUUUAUAGGGAUGUAUCCAAUGACAUAGGGGUUUAUUGGGAAUUAUAUUAGCCACCGCAUUUAACAUUAGCUGCAGUUGGCGGCAAUAUGCUAAUCGAGGUCAGAAUAAUAUGAUAAAUUGAAAACUUUAGGAGCUACAGUAAGAAAAGUGGUAAAAUCAUUCACACAAAAAUACAAUGCCUAGAUGAAAACAGAGAUCAACUUGGAGCUAUAUGAAACUAUGGAGUAUAGGUAAUUGUUGCAUAGAAUCUAUAGUUGGGCUGUGCGAUAUGGACUAAAAGUCAUAUAUAGAUAUUUUUCCGUGUCUGGAUAAUUUCAUACGUCUAUUAUUAAUGGCCCGCGGUAAAUCGCUCUCCCACCACUCACUCAUACUACAAAUCCCACAAUGCACUGCAACUGAUGACACACAGGUCAUCAAAACGAAUUGGCGGCUCAAGGGCAGAAAUUUAUUGUCAUUUAAAAUAAACUACAUCGACAUUAACAAUAUCUCGUGCUGUAUCGUGUUUAAAAAUGUAAAACACACAUGAAGUGUUGAUAUCUGACACCUGCCUAAUGAUAAUGCUGAAAUAGGCCAAAUUACAAACAUUUAUAAUGUAACACCUAAUAAGGCAGAUCCUUUGUCUCUUUGGUUAUUAAAUCUUUAUUGUUUUUUAUUCUAGUUUUAAGAUGCCACGAGGGUCAACAAUAACAACAUGUGUUGGUUGCAAAGCAGCUAUUGGUGUGGCCACCAAGACCUGCAAAUAUUGCCAAUCAAGUGCAGCCAAGAAAGCAAAGACUGGCAAAAAAACUUCUGAAAUUUGAGGACAGAAAGGAGACGUGGUUAAAAAACCAAAAACAAAAACCAAACCACCUCUCAUGUUAUUGAUGAGGCAUCUGUCUUGGUGGAAAAGUUAAACACAUUGGGGUACAAGGCCAUGGUCUUUAUUGGAAAGAAAACCAAAAAGCAGAAAACCUGGUCCGCACAAGUCCUCCAGCCAAAAUGGCAGCUGUCAGACCAUUCUGAAAAAUACCUUGACAGGAUGAAAGCUCUCUUUGAACUGUUAAUUAAUGGUGAUAGCUGAAGCAAAAACAAACUACUGGCAAGUGAAUUACUGAGGUCGUAUCGGCCACAAUGUGCCACCAGAACAGCUUCAUUCUAAAUAGGAACUGAUGAUGAUGGAGAGCACUGUUGCACAUCCAAAGUCUUCUGUGGGUGUUUGGUGCCUCAUUUUUAGCUGUAUAUAUAAUUCACUUCAGUCUACUGUGUAUAUGGACAAGCUCAGUAUGUGCACACACAUAUCAAAAUACAUGUCUGUAACAAUUUCCGUCCUAUGCUUUUUUCUGUUAAGUAAGGGAUAAUGUAUAGCUACGCAGUUGUUAUUAGUGUGUUAAUACAACCACGCCAGUUUGAUCAGUACUUGAAUCAGUCUGAAGGGGUUGUAUUCGCUAUAACAAUCACCUUGCUACACAUUAUCCUGCUUAUUACAUGGUUACCUAUACCAAAUAAAUCAAUAAUUUGUCAUUGUAAUCAGUUUCUUAUUACUCAGUUUGUUUACGUGUUUAUACACAUAUAAAUUAUGCCCGUGAUGAUCAUACAACCCCUAUUGCAGUGAAGUUCCUAUAUUCAUGAAUAUACAAUGAAGACAAGACAUUUAAUGUUCAAACUGAAAAAACUGAAAAGCUUUAUUGGUUUUUUUUGCAAAUAUUCAGUCAUUUUGAAUGUCAUGGGGCAUGGGUAUGCCAUGUACACUACCACACACCCAUGACUUUUGAACUUUGAGCACUGAUAACAAUCUGGGUGGUCCUUUUCAUGACACUCACGUGUUUCCACUGAACCUGUGGAACCAUGUUCCAAACAUUCCCAGUCUUGAUCUUGUCCCAGGUUUUAUAGGAGUAUGUUGCAGGCCUCAAAUUCAAAAUGAGUUAAUAUUAGCUAACUAACAAUAAAGUUUUUCAGCUUGUCUUUGUAGAGUAUUCAGUUUAAUAUAGGUUGAAAAUGAUUUGCAAAUCGUUUUAUUUUCGUUUUACAGUUGACUCAGCCUUGUUGAAAUUAGGGUUUGUAAAACACAUUGAAUCAGAUUGACAAAAUUUUCAUACUUAAAUAAAGAAAAUACGUAAAUCAUUCUCAUCAUUCUGUGAGACACUGUGCUCUGUGAAUUGAAGCAUUAUCUGUCUGGAAGACACAUCUCCCAUCAAUAUUGAGGUUAUAGGAGAAAGGUAAUAUGUGUAGGAGGAACUAAAUUCAUUGUUUUUCCCCUCAUCUUCCAGAGUUUUCCUUCAAUUGGUCUCCUGUGUGUACAUCUUGUAGUCUAUAAACCUUGGUAGAGCGAAGAAGUGACCAUACAGCAUAUGGUUAAACAAUAUCCAUGUAUUUCAAUGAGUGCCCUGCAAAAGAUUUGUCAUGAUCAUGAGUUGAAGUGCCCUGUUUAGCCACCAGAGGGCACUCCAACAUGGACUUGUCACCUGUUUAAACUGCAUUUCCCAUAAUUCACUCCUGGACUCAUUAUCCUCGUGUCAUUGCACCCAGCUGUUUUGUGUUUCAUCAUUAGUGUCUGUCUAUUUAUACUCAGUUGUUUCUGUCCUUGGUUGUGGUUUGUUAAUAUUUGUUACGUGCACUUUUGUUACCUCUGGUUUUCUGUUUGUGGACUGUUAUAUGGAUUUUGACCCUUGCCUGUUCUCUGGAUCUCGACUUUGGAUUACCCUUUAAUAAAAUACGCUGCACUUGGAUCCUUACCAUCUUGUUUGUGUGCAACCCGUGACAGAACAAACCACCAUGCAAGGAUCCAGCAGCGGAAAGAUCCGGCCAUCUGCUGGGGUUGGGGAGGGGCGGUCCUGUCUGACCAAACUUCGGCAGAGGAGAAUGGAGGUGAGGGCCUUCACCCAGAAGUUCUGGUCACGGGCGGAGAGGUUAAGUCUUCCUGAUGCGGUGCUCAAGGAAAUAUUCAACGGUUGUCUGGAUGAACCUCUGCCGCAGUGGGAGAUGGAGUUGGUGAGGGGGUUAAACUUUUGGAAUUUCUCCAACUACCU